rnacentral:rRNA from 1 species
GCUCAGGACGAACGCUGGCGGCGUGCCUAAUACAUGCAAGUCGAGCGGACAGAAGGGAGCUUGCUCCCGGAUGUUAGCGGCGGACGGGUGAGUAACACGUGGGUAACCUGCCUGUAAGACUGGGAUAACUCCGGGAAACCGGAGCUAAUACCGGAUAGUUCCUUGAACCGCAUGGUUCAAGGAUGAAAGACGGUUUCGGCUGUCACUUACAGAUGGACCCGCGGCGCAUUAGCUAGUUGGUGGGGUAAUGGCUCACCAAGGCGACGAUGCGUAGCCGACCUGAGAGGGUGAUCGGCCACACUGGGACUGAGACACGGCCCAGACUCCUACGGGAGGCAGCAGUAGGGAAUCUUCCGCAAUGGACGAAAGUCUGACGGAGCAACGCCGCGUGAGUGAUGAAGGUUUUCGGAUCGUAAAGCUCUGUUGUUAGGGAAGAACAAGUGCGAGAGUAACUGCUCGCACCUUGACGGUACCUAACCAGAAAGCCACGGCUAACUACGUGCCAG